rnacentral:rRNA from 1 species
AAUGAACGCUGGCGGCGUGCUUAACACAUGCAAGUCGAACGAGAAAGCCUGAUUUCGGUUGGGCGAGUAAAGUGGCGCACGGGUGAGUAACGCGUGGGUAACCUACCCCUGAAACUGGAAUAACCCGCCGAAAGGCGGACUAAUACCGGAUAUUGUUCCAGAGGCGCAUGUCUUUGGGAUGAAAGGUGACCUCUUCAUGAAAGUUGCCGUUCGGGGAGGGGCUCGCGUACCAUUAGCUUGUUGGUAGGGUAAUGGCCUACCAAGGCGACGAUGGUUAGCUGGUCUGAGAGGAUGAUCAGCCACACUGGAACUGGAACACGGUCCAGACUCCUACGGGAGGCAG